AACCGACACCGUUACCAAGCUACCUAACCGGGUGGCCAGCCCGUAUAGUAGUGGAAUGGAAGCGCUUCCCUUGG
rnacentral:pre_miRNA from 1 species